rnacentral:rRNA from 1 species
AGAGUUUGAUCCUGGCUCAGGACGAACGCUGGCGGCGUGCCUAAUACAUGCAAGUCGAACGCACUCUCGUUAGAUUGAAGAAGCUUGCUUCUGAUUGAUAACAUUUGAGUGAGUGGCGGACGGGUGAGUAACACGUGGGUAACCUGCCCUAAAGUGGGGGAUAACAUUUGGAAACAGAUGCUAAUACCGCAUAAAACCUAGCACCGCAUGGUGCAAGGUUGAAAGAUGGUUUCGGCUAUCACUUUAGGAUGGACCCGCGGUGCAUUAGUUAGUUGGUGAGGUAAAGGCUCACCAGGACCGUGAUGCAUAGCCGACCUGAGAGGGUAAUCGGCCACACUGGGACUGAGACACGGCCCAGACUCCUACGGGAGGCAGCAGUAGGGAAUCUUCCACAAUGGACGAAAGUCUGAUGGAGCAACGCCGCGUGAGUGAAGAAGGUUUUCGGAUCGUAAAACUCUGUUGUUGGAGAAGAACGUAUUUGAUAGUAACUGAUCAGGUAGUGACGGUAUCCAACCAGAAAGCCACGGCUAACUACGUGCCAGCAGCCGCGGUAAUACGUAGGUGGCAAGCGUUGUCC